rnacentral:rRNA from 1 species
AUUGAACGCUGGCGGCAUGCAUAACACAUGCAAGUCGAACGGCAGCACAGUGUGUAGCAAUACACAUGGGUGGCGAGUGGCGGACGGGUGCGUAACGCGUAGGAAUCUGCCUUGAAGCGGGGGACAACCCGAGGAAACUCGGGCUAAUACCGCAUAAACUCGAAAGAGCAAAGCUGGGGCAACCUGGCACUUCAAGAGGAGCCUGCGUCCGAUUAGCUAGUUGGUGGGGUAAAAGCCUACCAAGGCGAUGAUCGGUAGCUGGUCUGAGAGGAUGAUCAGCCACACUGGGACUGAGACACGGCCCAGACUCCUACGGGAGGCAGCAGUGGGGAAUAUUGGACAAUGGGCGAAAGCCUGAUCCAGCAAUGCCGCGUGUGUGAAGAAGGCCUUCGGGUUGUAAAGCACUUUAGGCUGGGAGGAAGGGUUGUAGUUUAAGAGAUGACAACUUUGACUGUACCGGCAGAAUAAGCACCGGCUAAUUCUGUGCCAGCAGCCGCCGUAA